AGCAGGGGGAGGGGAAAAAGAGGGGGAAAUGUAUAUACAUAAAAUAGCCAAUAAAAUAAACAACCUUUUUUAAAAAAGACAGAAGGGAAAAACGGCAGAAAAUGCAGAUCUUACUAGAUACCAUUUGACUUUUCAGGAUAAGGAAGUGUUGCUAUGAGCUCUUAUUGAGGGCCACCGAACGUUUUAGACAUCGGGGACAGUGGGAAUGGAAGGAAGGGAAAAGAGGCCAGCUUUGGGCGGCCACAGGUUGGUCACAGUGGGAGGCAGAGCUGAGUCUCCAUGUUCUCUGCGCCUCAAAACUCCAUCUCGUGGCUCUGCUGGGCUCCCUUCACCGGUCACCAAGGCGGUGGCCACAGCUAUCUUUAGCACCAUGACUGACGGGCUGCAUAACCAACUCCCAAGAUGGCCACACACCACCUCGGUAGCAGAAGAGGCUUUCCCGACGUGAUUAAGGAUGCUGGGGGCGGGGGGGGUGGUGUAGCUGGGAUCCCUUCUAAACGGGAGGUGGAGGGAGAUCUAACCACAGCAGUUGUAAUAACAGAAGUUGGGGUGGUAACGAGGAAGGACUGCAAACCAAGGAAUGCAGGCAAGGAAACACAUCCGUCCCGUGACUCUCUAAAAGGCAUGUGGCGCCGAUACCGUAAUUUUGGACUUCUAGCUGCUGGGAUUCUAAAAAAACGAGUGUAUGCUGUUUCAAACCACUAGGCUUGUGAUUUGUAACAGCAACAAAACAGUAACACCAGCCUCUGACUACGGCUCAGAAGGCCUCAAAUGGAACCUGGUCCAAAAAGUCUUGGUUUUGGGUUUGUUUCUGUAGCCCUGGCUUUCCCAGAACUCACUCUUUAGACCAGGCUGGCCUCCAACCCACAGAGAUCCACCCCACUGCUUCUGCCUCCAGAGCACUGGGAUUAAAGGUGUGUGCUACCAUGCCCAACUGUCCCAAACAACCCGAUGGCAGAAAACGGCCCCAGUGACCAAAGGAUGUGGGGCUUCACCUCCACGUGUGCAACGGAGAACAAGUCAGCCAUGGAAGCCUUCGGGUCUGAGUCCCACCUUGUUUCCUAUCGGCCUGUGACUGAGUGAGUAGCUGGGUAGGAGGAACCAUUCGUGGCACUUCAUUACAGCCUCUGUGGCAGUCAGGAGAAAGUGUGCAUUUAAGUGUGCAUAUAAAGAUGAGGCCCUGGAACCAGGCAGUGACUGCUCAAUUCCCCAGGAGAGCCCCGAAGACCAUGAAAAUAUCAUCUUUAUGUUACACCAGCGUAACUAAGGCCCCAGCACCAAGUACGUUGAACCGUUUUAGGACUCAUGACAGACCUAGCCUGUUUAUACUUUAACAUUUACAAAAUCGUGAGCUGGGCGUAACCUCAGACCUUAGGAGGCUGAGUUUGGGGCGGUACGGACUACACAGCCAAGCUCCAGGCCAACCCAUUCGUCAAGACCCUGUAUCCAAAAGCAGAUGCCGGCCAAUGUGUUCACAAAGCUUCAGAAAGGGAAGCCUGCCCCCUGUGGCACACACAGGAGUUUCCGAGAGAUGAGAGGUAAGAUGUUCCUGAAAGGAUGUAGAAUGAUGGCAAGGCGCAGUGCCUGUGAGCCUGGAGAAAAGGACCAUGUGGCCAGAGCACAAGGCACAGAAUGGGCUCCUAACAGGCAAGCGUCAGAACAGAAGCCAUUGUUAAGUUUGGAGUCCUUUCUACAUAACAAAAUACUCAGAAGCCAUAGGCAAAAAGCAGUGUAUUUGACCAAAGCAGAGAGAAUGAUUCCAUGAGAACCAACUAAAGUUAUUUUAAUGCAUUUGUCAAAGAGGUAAUCUCAGAAUUUUUGGAUCUAUCAGAAAAAAAAAAAACAAAAAACAUUCAUGGAAAACAAUGGCAGACCAGGCACGGUGGCGCACACCUUUAGUCCCAGCACUGGGAGGCAGAGGCAAGAGGAUCUCUGUUAAUUUGAGGGCAGCCUAUUUUACAUAGUGAGUUCCAGGACAGCUAGGGCUACAUAGAGAGACUUGUCUCAAAAGUCAAACAAAACGGGGAAGGUAGGUAGGUGGAGAGAUGGCUCAGCAGUUAAGAGCACUGAUUGCUCUUCCUGAGUUCAAUUCCCAGCAACCACAUGGUGGCUCACAACCAUUUGUAAUGGGAUCUGAUGCCCUCUUCUGCUAUAUCUGAAGACGACUACAGUUUAGUCAUAUACAUAAAAUAAAUAAUUAUUUUUAAAAAAGAAAAGAAGAAGGAAAACAGAGGCAGAUGAACACCUGGGACAAUGCCUAUUUUGAGGCAGUGACUUGUGGCUGGCUGUGACCUUAUGGCAACCUCCCUGCUUUGGUCUCUCACAUGCUAAGGUUACUGUGUGAACCUCGAAGCCUGAUUAUAACCCUGUUUAAUCUUGUUACUGGCAUCCCAAUAAAAAUGAGUCCAUUUUUGGAUUAGUACAGCACCGAC
ensembl:lncRNA